GUACUUCAAUGCCAGCUUUCUAUACGCUCUCUUGAUCUGUUCAUCGGAUGCACUCCUCGGCACUUGCAAUACAUCGUAAUAGCUCUUCCCUGCAAUGGCUGUUAGGGCGAAGGAAAGAGCGCAUAAUAGAAACAGAAGCUUUGCUCUUCGAAGCGCCAUUGAAGAUUUAAAUCGGGAGAGUUUGAUCUCUCCAAAUCUGAAAACCUAAAUAAUUAUUAGAUCUUUGUACACCUUCUCUAAUUAAAGUUUUCGAGUUUAUAAAUGAAACCGACUCUCUCUCUCUCUCUGGCGCGCGCGCUCUUGUUCUUGGCUUUGUAAUUUCUGGGAUGGUAAACACCUUGAAAGCGGAUGGCAGGGUUAAGCACCAAAACGGAAGGCACCGAUGACUUGACCAACUUCAG
rnacentral:misc_RNA from 1 species